AAGCUCACACACAAGCCUUUGCCUAGGGAAGACAGACGCUUAGUUUGAUUCCUCCGCAACCAUGUUUAGGGACCAGAAUUUAAGAGCAGAAGUGUUAUGUUCCAUUCUUGGACAGGUGGUUAAACUCUAUGACAACGAAACACAACAGACAAGAGAACACAUUUUGACCCUUGAAGACUUUCACCUCGGACAAAUCUUGGGGAAAAAGCAGGCUGAGAAUGAAUUGUUCAUCAAUGUGAAAGAGUUUUUUGACCCGCAGUAUGACUGCGACUUCACUUGUCUCUCUGAUUCGGCUAAGUACAUGAGAGGUGACGAGCCUUAUGAGCGCCCCAAAGGUUGGUACCGCAUGGCAUUAAAGGUCAAAGGCAAAUAUCGAGACGGAGACGCCUGGUUGGGCGAAAAUGGAUGGAGGAGUCACUCUGUACCUGGAGAAUGGCCGGUCUCCUACCAUGGGACGAGCUCAGAUGGAGCCAAAGGCAUCAUCAAGAGUCACUACAAGGCAGGAGACAGAGCUCUAUAUGGAAGAGGAAUCUACUCAACACCAAACAUACAUGUUGCUGAGAAUGAGCAGUACGCCAAGACCUUUGAAUCAAAGACAACAGGGAAAAAAUACAAAGUGAUCCUGCAAAAUCGGAUCAAUCCUGAAAGAAGAGCAAUAUGCCAAAGAUCUGACUACUGGCUGAUUCCUGUUGCUGAAGGAACAUCUGCCUGGAUGGAGAAAGAGAUAGCAGAGAGAGCUAUUCGACCUUACGGCAUUCUGAUUCAAGAGAUAAAAGACGAUGACGACUGCUGCGACAACAGCUGGGACCCUGAAGCUGCUGCUGCUGCUGCUGCUGCUGCUGCUGCUGCUGCUCAAAGAGAGAAGAGGGAAAAGGAGUGGCUGUGUGAAAUUCUUUAAUUUGUGGAUAAGGGUUGAUAGCCCCCAUUGUUCUGUGUGUCAAAAUCACGGACAGCCCACACAUUCUUUUUGCUAUUAUAUUAAAAAAAUCGGUAAAUGAUGGAAAAUAUCGGGUGAUCGCGCUCUCUGGACCGGAGUACUUCUUCCAUCACUGAAGGACACAGAAUCCGAUGGGUCAAUAAGUAAUGUGUAACACUCUCACUAAUAGUAUAUGAUACGACACCCCUAACAAUUCAUGAUCACUUUAGGAACUUUUUUCUGGCCUAUCUUCACAGAAAUCACAACGCAAAUUUUAUUCUGGCUAUAUAAUGUGUAAUAACGUUGUGCUUGUUGCCCAGUUGUUGCAGAAAUGCUGUGUGUGUGCUGAGAUCCUUCGCAAAGGUCUAUUUUUGUAUUUCUUUCUUAAACAUAUCAGGAAAUGUUGUUGAAAUCCUUUGUAUCAGAUUUCUACCACAACAGUAACCUCAUUUACACUGAAGUUUACUCCAACCAGUUUCCUUGUAACACUUUACACUUUGAUAUAUUUUUCAUUUGUUCUGUGAUAUAAAUAAAGAGUUGAAACUAA